ACUGAAUCCUUGCAGUCUUCGUGCACUCAGCCUGGCGUCUUGAGUAGAGUAAGGUUGUCUCAUAAGACCCGUUUAGAAACCACAACCCAUAAGCUAUCAUUUUAAUCACGAGGUUAUGAGGGGACCCACUUAAAUUAUACACAAAUAUUUGAACUAAUGUGUUGGUACGACAGAAGCAUUCUCGUGCUUAGUAUGUAAAUAUUUGCCCCUUGAAGAAGCAGUAGCAUUCACAGAAGUAUUUUCGAAUUAAUCUCAUUUUUACCAAUGGCCAGGGUGCUAGUGUUAGAGGUGAUCUGUGGUUUUAAAUGUCACAGAAGGUAUUUCUUUUCUAAAAUUAAGUCGUCAAAUUUUUGAAAUGAUUAAAACAUACCUUACCUUUCAUAUUAGUGUUAUAACAAGUUGUCUAGAAUCAGCUUAAAUAUGCACACAUACACACGCACAUGUGCAUAUCCAUGCACACACACACAAAUAAUUGCUAAGAAAAUAAUACCCAGUUCAGUGUAGUAUUACAACUUGAUUGAUAUAAUCUGUGAUUCCUCAUUUUCUAUCACAUACGUUCCUGUGCAAAAUACUCAUGCUCAUACUUACACUUUAAAUCUGUUUUGGAAAGCAGCAUAAGAAGAAGAGAGAGUGACAUUAGAAACACUGUUACGAAUGGCCUUAUAACGUGAUUCGCUAUAAAUUAUGAGCAGUUUACUGAAGAAGCUUGUAAUGACAGUUGAUGAUACAGGAGAGGAGGAAGGACUUCAACAUGGGUGAAGACAAAGAAGAGGUCAUUGUCUUAAGCAAGCAUCGGUUUCCAGGAGGAACAAGACCCCUCUGCAUAUGAGGGAAUUGUCUUGAGAGAAUAAAGCGGUACGCAACAGAAGUACUCAUCUAGAAACCAGGUCCAAAUAAAUCAGGCAUACGUCAGACUGAAAAGGCUAAAACUUGGACAUAUUUGACAAGUCUUACAUUAGAUGGAACAAGGACCCAGAGGAUCAAUGAAUGGAUGAGUAGAGGAAAGGAAUCAAUAAGUAAAUGAUUAGAAGAAAGGAAUCAAUGAAUGAAUGAGCAGAAGAAAGCAACAGUGAGAACAGAGGACAAUCAAGCUCUGGUGCCUUCUUACCUAAGGCCAAGUUCGAAAUAUUCAUGUAUACACUGUUGGAAUGCUUUGUGUAACAGAUAGAAUAAAGAGAUGAAACAUGUGACUUACAAUAAAGGUCCAGUGACA